UACGGAGGGUGCAAGCGUUUAAUCGGAAUUACUGGGCGUAAAGCGCACGCAGGUGGCUGAGUCAGUCGAUUGUGAAAGCCCUGGGCUUAACCUGGGAAUUGCAGUCGAUACUACUCAGCUAGAGUAUGGGAGAGGGCAGUGGAAUUCCCGGUGUAGCGGUGAAAUGCGCAGAUAUCGGGAGGAACACCGGUGGCGAAGGCGGUUCUCUGGGCCUGUACUGACGCUGAGGAGCGAAAGCGUGGGGAGCGAACAGG
rnacentral:rRNA from 1 species